UAAAUUUACCCCGGACCGUAGGGACAAGUACCCUGAGGGAAAGUUGAAAAGAAAUUUGAAGAGAGAGUUCAAGAGUACGUGAAACCGCUCAGGGGUAAACGGAAAAGACCUGAAUAUCCCAAAGGGGAGAUUCUCGUCUUACCCUAUAUUUUGCUGUGAAAUGCAUUAAGAUGGUUAUUCGCCCUGCCCAGUGUAAACUGUGGUGGUGGGUUUAAUUACUCGCAUUUAAAUUGUAAGAAUAAUGGUGGACCGCAUUUCUCCCUUAGUAGGACGUUGCGACCUGUUAAAUAAUACUCUAAGUAUAAUUAAAGUGCCUGUUUUAAAGUUGUACUUUUUUUUUUUUUUAAAAAAAAAAAGAAAAAUGGGUAUACUUUUUUCAGCUUUAAUUUAUAUACUGGGUAUUUAUAUAUUUAACAGUAAGAAAUGACGGUGUUGAGCCACUUAAGAUUGCUAAUUUAUUUAGUAAUUAAAAGUGUUUUUGUCCGUUUACAAGUGGGGUUGUUUUAUAUAGUAUUGUCGUACUUAAGUCCGUCUAUACUAUAUCUCCUACUGUUUGUAAACCGGA
rnacentral:rRNA from 1 species